rnacentral:pre_miRNA from 1 species
AUACUACUCACUCCGUCCGAAAAUACUUGUCAUCAAAAUGGACAAAAAAAGAUGUAUCUAGAACUAAAAUACAUCAAGAUACAUCCCCUUUUAUCCAUUUUGAUGAUAAGUAUUUCCGAACGAAGGGAGUAUAUG